rnacentral:siRNA from 1 species
CAGAAUGAAUGUGCCAGUGGUAUC